UUGAACGCUGGCGGAAUGCUUUACCCAUGCCCGUCGAACGGCAGCACGGGGGCAGCCCUGGUGGCGAGUGGCGAACGGGUGAGUAAUACAUCGGAACGUGCCCGGUCGUGGGGGAUAACGUAGCGAAAGUUACGCUAAUACCGCAUACGAUCUGAGGAUGAAAGCGGGGGACCUUCGGGCCUCGCGCGAUCGGAGCGGCCGAUGUCAGAUUAGGUAGUUGGUGGGUAAAGGCCUACCAAGCCGACGAUCUGUAGCUGGUCUGAGAGGACGACCAGCCACACUGGGACUGAGACACGGCCCAGACUCCUACGGGAGGCAGCAGUGGGGAAUUUUGGACAAUGGGCGCAAGCCUGAUCCAGCCAUUCCGCGUGCAGGACGAAGGCCUUCGGGUUGUAAACUGCUUUUGUACGGAACGAAAAGGCUCUGGCUAAUACCUGGGGCUCAUGACGGUACCGUAAGAAUAAGCACCGGCUAACUACGUG
rnacentral:rRNA from 1 species